CCCUCUCUCACUAUUUCCCGCUUUCCAGAAGUAAAAAAAUAUCUAAGCUCACUGCAUUUUGUAUGAAGAUUGAAGUACGGUAGCUGCGCCUGCGCGGGUAUUAUCCUUGAGAGAGAGAGAGAGAGAUUCUACCUCAUAGAUGGAGAUUGCAUUAUACCUUUGAUUGAAUCAUUUGCUCAAAAGCUGGAGAUGUGAAAGGAUAAAACAGCAAAGCGAUAACAGGAAUUUCCGG
rnacentral:lncRNA from 1 species